rnacentral:rRNA from 1 species
CCCUUAGAUGUCCUGGGCCGCACGCGCGCUACGCUGACAUGUUCAACAAGCCUCCUAGUUCGACAGGAUUUGGGAAAUCUUUGAACGCAUGUCGUGAUAGGGAUAGAUCAUUGCAAUUAUUGAUCUUGAACGAGGAAUUCCUAGUAAACGCGAGUCAUCAGCUCGCAUUGAUUACGUCCCUGCCCUUUGUACACACCGCCCGUCGCACCUACCGAUUGAAUGUUUCGGUGAAGAUUCCGGAUAGGACUUUUUUGAUUUAUUUCAAUUUUGUCUUAAAAGCUAUCUAAACCUCAACAUUUAGAGGAAGGUGAAGUCGUAACA